UACAGAGGUCUCAAGCGUUGUUCGGAUUCAUUGGGCGUAAAGGGUGCGUAGGCGGCGCGGUAAGUCGGGUGUGAAAUCUCGGGGCUUAACUCCGAAACUGCAUUCGAUACUGCCGUGCUUGAGGACUGGAGAGGAGACUGGAAUUUACGGUGUAGCGGUGAAAUGCGUAGAUAUCGUAAGGAGACCAGUGGCGAAGGCGGGUCUCUGGACAGUUCCUGACGCUGAGGCACGAAGGUCAGGGGAGCAAACGGG
rnacentral:rRNA from 1 species